UUAAAUGCUAUGAUAGGAAGAGUAAUAAAUGAAUGUGUUAAAAGAGAGCUGGGUUAGGUGAAAGCUAGCAAUGCUGAAGUUUAUGAAUAUGGACCUUGAGCAUAUUAUCUGAAAUUUUAAGUAAGGUAAUACGGGACGCAGCCGUUAUAAAUGCAAAGUGAUGAAAAGCUUCUUUAGAAGUGUAAUAGUCACUUAGAGAGGUCUUUAUUGUGAGAUAAAGAUAAAUUAGAGUGGUAAAGCGUUAAUACGCCUCUAUG
rnacentral:ncRNA from 1 species